UACGAAGGGGGCUAGCGUUGCUCGGAAUUACUGGGCGUAAAGCGCACGUAGGCGGAUCUUUAAGUCAGGGGUGAAAUCCUGGAGCUCAACUCCAGAACUGCCUUUGAUACUGAGGACCUUGAGUUCGGGAGAGGUGAGUAGAACUGCGAGUGUAGAGGUGAAAUUCGUAGAUAUUCGCAAGAACACCAGUGGCGAAGGCGGCUCACUGGCCCGAUACUGACGCUGAGGCACGAAAGCGUGGGGAGCAAACAGG
rnacentral:rRNA from 1 species